UCUCUCCAAGCUUGUUAUACUGAAUCUUCACUUCCUGGAAAGGUAAGGCAGUUCCUAACUUGUGAACCUAUAAAAGCUGGCUUAGCCUUACAUUAGUAUUGACUCCAGGAACGAAACAUUUGAUUUAGAAUGACUUAGAAUUAUAUUCCGCUGGAGUUUGGGUGCUAGAGUUGGAAACAAUGUACCCUACUGAAGCAGCAGAUUCUCUUGGAUUACUAAACAUGGAGGGAAAAGCACUUAAACCUGGCUUGGAGAAAGAGAAGAGAGGAGAGUCAUAUUCAAGGACUGUACUCUAAAUAUUCCUCCAAUAACAACAGCUUCUUGCAGAAACUCAGGUCAGAUGUCUUCAGGCUACAGCGCAGUGGAAUAAAAACAUCGUCCAGCUCUCAUUGAAUGGGGAAUUUAUCAGGCUGUAUUUUAAAAAAUCUCCUUUUGUGCAACUAGUGAGAGUCUCAGGAACCAUGUUUAUAUCCAUAAUAAUGAAGCUAGAUAAGGGUGCCUGACUCAGAUUCCGCCCAUCAAAACAAACCAGCCAAGCACCAUGUGAAAAGCUUUGAUAAGGCCCUGUGAAGACCGCUUAUGCAGUCCAUUUGUCAUUGAACAUGUUUCCUCCUUAGCACAAUAUUUUUAAACAGCUUGAUUUUUUAAAAAAAUCAAUAGUCUUUGAGUAAGAAUGAUAUCAGGACAACAGUCUUCAAUUUAAUAUUGAGGGCUUAUUUCACAUCUCUUUCAGCUUUAAACCAACUUGCUUGUAUCAUAGUCCAAAUUCCAACAGUGACUUUCCAAUGCUUCCAGAUGAAUUCAUAAUUUCUUUUGUCAUGUAACACAGGCACAGUUUUCUUUUUCUUUUACUGGUGGUUUUCAAACCUAAUUUUUGAGCAGAGGAAACUCUUUUAUCAAAUAAAAUCUUACUCAGAACUCCACAGCAGAGUGGAACUACUCAGGAAGUGUCCCUUAUCUGGAAGGUCAUUGGGAAACCACUGCCUUAUUGCAAAAAUGCUUUGUUUGACUUGCAGAUUUCAUAGCCAGAAUAGAGAAGCAAUCAACAUGUAAUUUCCUCAAACAAUGGAAAUUCAUUAAGUAGCACCUAACUAGAAAAUAAUAAUAUAUAGUAACUAAAUUCAUGAAAAAGUUGCAUUGCAGUAUUAUGCUUUGUCACUAGAAAUAGAAAUGGCCACAGGCUAAAGCUUGCACUUUCAAGUCUGCAUUCCCUACUUGCAUUCAGGUGUGAUGGUCUGGAGUUCUGGGGCAGCACAUAAGCAGUUGGCUCUCUGGCCUCUCUCCCAAAUGAGUGUCCUCCCAAUAAUCAAAGUUUGCAUUUGUCCUAGGUCCAGGCCUUUCCAUCCUGGUGACUGAUCACUGGGAACGUGGGUCCAGAAUAUGGCCCAUCUGGAGGGAAUCUAUAGCAGAAAUAGUGCAAAGACAUUCUCCUAAGUUGUUCUGGCUUUGACAUAAGACUGAGGAGAGUGGAAUUUUUCUUCCAACC
rnacentral:lncRNA from 1 species